rnacentral:tmRNA from 1 species
GGGGGUGUAUUAGCUUCGACAGAAGGACUUUAAAAAUAUAUCGCAAGUAAGUAAGCUCGGUCGCUUCAAAGUGCCGGCAAACUUCAAGUGCAAAUACACUUGCUAGCAGGAUCAGAGGCGCUUUUGCGUCAAUGACUCCUGCCUUAGCUUUAGCCUAAACGCUUUAGCCAUCCUUCCACUGCUUUUCGACGGUGGGCUCUGGGUGUCAUAAUCGAAAUGCGGCAUACUCUGUUCGACAGGGAGUAUGAAUAAGUAUUACUUUCGAUAGAGCAACAGUUUCUUUGUCUCAUUCUGAGCUUCGCUCGAACAAAUUGAAUGUGAACAAACUUGUAGAUGAUAUAUUUCUAACCUUUUGGACGCCGGUGCAACUCCGGCCACCUCCACCA